GACGAACGCUGGCGGCGUGCUUAACACAUGCAAGUCGAACGGAAAGGCCUUGUUUUGGGGGGUGGUCGGGUGGCCAAAGGGGGGGGAAAAAGGUGGGUAACUUGCCCUGACUUUUGGGUAAAUUUAAGAAAAUUGGGCUAAUAACGGAAAAGGACCUCCGGCUGCAGGGGGGGGGUGGGAAAGUUUCGGCGGUUGGGGAUGGACUCGCGGCUUAUCAGCUGGUUGGUGGGGUAGUGGCUUACCAAGGCUUUGACGGGUAGCCGGCCUGAGAGGGUGACCGGCCACAUUGGGACUGAGAUACGGCCCAGACUCCUACGGGAGGCAGCAGUGGGGAAUAUUGCACAAUGGGCGGAAGCCUGAUGCAGCAACGCCGCGUGCGGGAUGACGGCCUUCGGGUUGUAAACCGCUUUCGCCUGUGACGAAGCGUGAGUGACGGUAAUGGGUAAAGAAGCACCGGCUAACUACGUG
rnacentral:rRNA from 1 species